GAUGAACGCUGGCGGCGUGCCUAAUACAUGCAAGUCGAGCGAACAGCUGAGGAUGUUGCUCCUCUUACGUUAGCGUCGGACGGGUGAGUAACACGUGGGUAACAUAUCUAUAAGACUUGGAUAACUUCGUGAAACCGGAUCUAAUAUCGGUUAAUUUAUUUAACCGCAUGGUUCAAUAGUUAAAGAAGGUUUUGCUGUCACUUAUAGAUGGAUGCGCGCCGCAUUAGCUAGUUGGUAAGGUAACGGUUUACCAAGGCUACGAUGCGUAGCCGACGUGAGAGGGUGAUCGGCCACACUGGAACUGAGACACGGUCCAGACUCCUACGGGAGGCAGCAGUAGGGAAUCUUCCGCAAUGGGGGAAAGCCUGACGGAGCAACGCGGCGUGAGUGAUGAAGGUCUACGGAUCGUAAAACUCUGUUAUUAGGGAAGAACAAAUGUGUAAGUAACUAUGCACGUCUUGACGGUACCUAAUCAGAAAGCCACGGCUAACUACGUG
rnacentral:rRNA from 1 species